rnacentral:rRNA from 1 species
AUGCAAGUCGAACGGAAACUGUCUAGCUUGCUAGAUGAUGUCGAGUGGCGGACGGGUGAGUAAUGCUUGGGAACUUGCCUUUGCGAGGGGGAUAGCAGUUGGAAACGACUGCUAAUACCGCAUAAUGUCUUCGGACCAAACGGGGCUUCGGCUCCGGCGCAAAGAGAGGCCCAAGUGAGAUUAGCUAGUUGGUGAGGUAAAGGCUCACCAAGGCAACGAUCUCUAGCUGUUCUGAGAGGAAGAUCAGCCACACUGGGACUGAGACACGGCCCAGACUCCUACGGGAGGCAGCAGUGGGGAAUAUUGCACAAUGGGGGAAACCCUGAUGCAGCCAUGCCGCGUGUGUGAAGAAGGCCUUCGGGUUGUAAAGCACUUUCAGUUGUGAGGAAAAGUUAGUAGUUAAUACCUGCUAGCCGCGACGUUAACAACAGAAGAAGCACCGGCUAACUCCGUGCCAGCAGCCGCGGUAAUACGGAGGGUGCGAGCGUUAAUCGGAAUUACUGGGCGUAAAGCGCACGCAGGCGGUUUGUUAAGCUAGAUGUGAAAGCCCCGGGCUCAACCUGGGACGGUCAUUUAGAACUGGCAGACUAGAGUCUUGGAGAGGGGAGUGGAAUUCCAGGUGUAGCGGUGAAAUGCGUAGAUAUCUGGAGGAACAUCAGUGGCGAAGGCGACUCCCUGGCCAAAGACUGACGCCCAUGUGCGAAAGUGGGGGUAGCGAACAGGAUUAGAUACCCUGGUAGUCCACACCGUAAACGCUGUCUACUAGCUGUUUGUGGCUUUAAGCCGUGAGUAGCGAAGCUAACG